rnacentral:rRNA from 1 species
GACGAACGCUGGCGGCGUGCUUAACACAUGCAAGUCGAACGUGAUUUUUAAGGAAAGCCCUUCGGGGAAGGAAUUAAAAUGAAAGUGGCGAACGGGUGAGUAACACGUGAGCAACCUACCUCACACAGGGGGAUAGCCGUUGGAAACGACGAUUAAUACCGCAUGAGACCACAGAAUCGCAUGAUAUAGGGGUCAAAGAUUUAUCGGUGUAAGAAGGGCUCGCGUCUGAUUAGCUAGUUGGAAGGGUAAAGGCCUACCAAGGCGACGAUCAGUAGCCGGUCUGAGAGGAUGGACGGCCACAUUGGAACUGAGACACGGUCCAAACUCCUACGGGAGGCAGCAGUGGGGAAUAUUGCACAAUGGGGGGAACCCUGAUGCAGCGACGCCGCGUGAGCGAAGAAGGUUUUCGAAUCGUAAAGCUCUGUCCUANGAGAAGAUAA